UACGAAGGGGGCUAGCGUUGCUCGGAAUCACUGGGCGUAAAGCGCACGUAGGCGGAUUGUUAAGUCAGGGGUGAAAUCCUGGAGCUCAACUCCAGAACUGCCUUUGAUACUGGCGAUCUCGAGUCCGGGAGAGGUGAGUGGAACUGCGAGUGUAGAGGUGAAAUUCGUAGAUAUUCGCAAGAACACCAGUGGCGAAGGCGGCUCACUGGCCCGGUACUGACGCUGAGGUGCGAAAGCGUGGGGAGCAACAGGA
rnacentral:rRNA from 1 species